CACGUAGGGGACGAGCGUUUGUCCGGAUUCAUUGGGCGUAAAGCGCGCGUAGGCGGUUCGGUAAGUCGGCUGUGAAAGCCCGGGGCUCAACCCCGGGAGCGGGUGGAUACUGGCAGGCUCGAGUCCGGAAGAGGCGAGUGGAAUUCCUGGUGUAGCGGUGAAAUGCGUAGAGAUCGGCAGGAACACCCGUGGCGGAAGCGGCCACCUAGCCCGCACCUGACGCUGAGGCGCGACAGCGUGGGGAGCGAACGGGAUAGAA
rnacentral:rRNA from 1 species